rfam:Triticum aestivum genome assembly, contig: Triticum_aestivum_CS42_TGACv1_scaffold_086952_1DS
GAGAGCCAAAUGAAUCAAAAGAUUCAUGUUUGGUUCGGGAAGAGAUCAUAAAAGUUGUAAACUUCCAAAUAAUCUACUUUCAU